rnacentral:misc_RNA from 1 species
AACUUUUGACAACGGAUCUCUUGGUUCUGGCAUCGAGGAAGAACGCAGCGAAAUGCGAUAAGUAAUGUGAAUUGCAGAAUUCAGUGAAUCAUCGAAUCUUUGAACGCACUGUGCGCCCGCCAGUAUUCUGGCGGGCAUGCCUGUUCGAGCGUCAUUUCAACCAUCAAGCCCCCGGCUUGUGUUGGGGACCUGCGGCUGCCGCAGGCCCUGAAAACCAGUGGCGGGCUCGCUGUCACCCCGAGCGUAGUAGUUACAUCUCGCUCUGGGAGUGCUGCGGGUUCCGGCCGUUAAACGCCUUAUUUACCCAAGGUUGACCUCGGAUCAGGUAGGAAGACCCGCUGAACUUAAGCAUAUCAAUAAGCGGAGGCU